GGAGGGAGGAGAGAGAGAGAGAGAGAGAGAGAGAGAGAGAGAGAGAGCGAGCUAGAGCUAGAGGAGGGCUUAGCGGUAUUCUGCUAGUUCUGUCUGUGCUCCACAUCAAGCGGCUGUGUAGUAGUCAGGCUCCACUCUUCCUUGCACUUCCUACCCGGCCUGACCAAACCACACGGCACCUGGCAGCGCUCCUCAAUGGAACUCCCCAGUUCACAAGACCUGUCUUGCGGGAACGGAUCCGUGUUUACAGUCUGCUGCUCGCCAGUAGGACUUUCCACAAUAACAACAACAGAAGAUGUUUGGACUUGCUGGCUGCCAUGGCAACGGGGAUUAGGCAAGGGCUGUUGUUGUGUUGAUGGUGUCCACAGGAGGAGAGCGAGCAAAAUAAUAAUAAUAAAUGGGCCAACUGGCUGUGUGUGUCUGCGUACGGGCCUGUAUGUCCUCUUUGCCUAAGCGAUGACCAACUCUGCUCCAUUGAAUCUCAUAAUAAAGGACUCGCUCGGAAGCCAUUGUGUGUUAUUGUUAGCCAAGAGCUCUGUGAAAUUCUCUGGCAGUUUGUUUACCCAAUCCAAAACAGAGCCGGCCUUGGAGAGGGAAAUGUUUGUUUGUGGUUCAGGCUUUAAUUAAAAUAUGCAUCUCCAGUUCUUUUUUUCGUAAACAUGCUCUGUAUGCCUUUUUCUUUAUUCAUUAUUUAUAUCUCUAUGCAACUUUGAUUACUCUGUUUAUGUUUACUGUAAACAUCCCCGAGCCGAGAGUGCUUGGUGGUGUGGUGGUGGUGGGGGGGAGGCUGUGGUAAUUGCUGGAUGCCUAGCAGAGGCUGCUGUUGUUGUUGUUGACGUGGUGUUGGUGGAGCAGGCUGUUGUUGUUGUUGUUAGGACUAGAGUUCUUAUUUCUCCCCAGGCACUGCCUGGUGUUUUUUCAGUCUUGGUGUCUCUCAUUUUCAGUGCUUUUAGUCCAUCAAAUUGUUUGAUUGUUUCUUAAGCUGACCAAUCUACAGAAUAGGACUAAAAAAUAACAGAUUUAUGGUAAUAUUCAGGU
ensembl:lncRNA